UUCUGCAACAGAUUAACAUGGCAAACCUCUGGGAAGUCAUCCCCAUGGAAGCUGCUGUUGGUGAAAAAAAAUGGAAAAUCUCCAGGAUGUGUUUGCAUAGGAAGGAAAUUAAUGAGAAACUACACUUCUGAAGUUAUGAAAGCUGCAUUAAUGGAUCAGUGCACCUAAACAAGAGGAGACCCCCUAUGGAACAAAGAAGACGUAAGAAUUCUGGUAUAGUUUCCUAGCUAGGAGACAGAGCCGUGAAUCAAAACUCCCAGCUGAAAUCCCAUUUCUGCCCAAAUUCAAUGGAUGGCCUUGGACAAGUCUCUCAACAUUAGACCACCUUCUGCUCCAAGGAAGAUAAUCUCUCUCUUUCUCUCUCCACUCCCAUGUGUAUCCUGCCUUUCCCUCACAAAAAUACAGCUAUGUC